rnacentral:ncRNA from 2 species
UACGUAGGGGGCAAGCGUUGUCCGGAAUUAUUGGGCGUAAAGGGCGCGCAGGCGGUUUCCUAAGUCUGAUGUGAAAGGCCACGGCUCAACCGUGGAAUGGCAUUGGAAACUGGGGAACUUGAGUACAGGAGAGGAGAGCGGAAUUCCACGUGUAGCGGUGAAAUGCGUAGAGAUGUGGAGGAACACCAGUGGCGAAGGCGGCUCUCUGGCCUGUAACUGACGCUGAGGCGCGAAAGCGUGGGGAGCGAACAGG